CCUGGUGUUUUUAUUGCCAAUUCUCCUCCCACAUGUUCAUGUGACAACCACCAUAAACACCUUUUCUAUUCUGAAUUAUAACCUUAAGGACAUGAUGUUUUGAUGAUGCCAGCAGUUAAGGUGCCAGAGCGGCAGGGAUCAAUGAUCAAUCCCAGACUCGCCCCGCAUUCAUUCAGCGUAGCAUCGGUAAGAGUGAGGGUGUCGUUUCUCAGGUAAGAGUAAGGGUGUCGUUUCUCAGGUGAGAGUGAGGGGGUCCAGUCCAUGAAAAAUGGCUUCUACAGGGAGCUACACCUGCCUUAUAGCCAUCAUCCUCAGCCUGACACUCCCAGCAGGGACAAGCACAACUGCUGAAAUCACAGACACAAUAUCUUCAGCAUCUUCUCCAAGUUCAAGUCCCACGAUUGUCUCGACAUCCACAUCCAAAGGGACAAGCACAACUGCUCAAGUUACAGACAAAACAGCUUCAGUAACUUCUCCAAGUUCGAGUCCCACGACUGUCUCAGCAUCCACAUCUGAAGGGACAAGCACAACUACUCAAGUCACAGACUUAUCUUCAGCAACUUCUCCAAGUUCAGGUCCCAAGACUGUCUCGACAUCCACACCCGAAGGGACAAGCACAACUGCUGAAAUCACAGACACAUCAUCUUCAGCAAUUUCUCCAAGUUCAAGUCCCACGACUGUGUCGUCAUCCACUUCUGAAGGGACAAGCACAACUGCUGAAGUCACAGCAACAUCAUCUUCAGCAACUUCUCCAAGUUCAAGUUCCACGACUGUCUCUUCAUCCACAUCCGAAGGGACAAGCACAACUGCAGAAGUCACAGACACAUCAUCUUCAGCAACUUCUCCAAGUUCAAGUCCCAUGACUGUCUCGUCAUCCACUUCUCAAGGGACAAGCACAACUGCUGAAGUCACAGACACAUCAUCUUCAGCAACUUCUCCAAGUUCAAGUCCCACGACCGUCUCGUCAUCCACAUCUGAUGGGACAAGCACAACUGCUAAAGUCACAGCAAUAACAUCUUCAGCAACUUCUCCAAGUUCAAGUCCCACGACUGUGUCGUCAUCCACAUCCGAAGGGACUAGCACAACUGCUGAAGUCACAGCAACAUCAUCUUCAGCAACUUCUCCAAGUUCAAGUCCCACGACUGUCUCGUCAUCCACAUCCGAAGGGACAAGCAUAACUGCUGAAGUCACAGCCACAACAUCUUCAGCAACUUCUCCAAGUUCAAGUCCCACGACUGUGUCGUCAUCCACUUCUGAAGGGACAAGCACAACUGCUGAAGUCACAGACACAUCAUCUUCAGCUACUUCAAGUCCCACGACUGUGUCGUCAUCCACUUCUGAAGGGACAAGCACAAUUGCUGAAGUGGAUGACGACACAGUCGUGGGACUUGAACUUGGAGAAGUUGCUGAAGAUGAUGUGUCUGUGACUUCUGCAGUUGUGCUUGUCCCUUCGGAUGUGGAUGACGAAACAGUCGUGGGACUUGAACUUGGAGAAAUUGCUGAAGAUGAUGUGACUGUGACUUCUGCAGUUGUGCUUGUCCCUUCAGAAGUGGAUGACGACACAGUCGUGGGACUUGAAGUAGCUGAAGAUGAUGUGUCUGUGACUUCAGCAGUUGUGCUUGUCCCUUCAGAAGUGGAUGACGACACAGUCGUGGGACUUGAACUUGGAGAAGUUGCUGAAGAUGUUGUGUCUGUGACUUCAGCAGUUGUGCUUGUCCCUUCAGAAGUGGAUGACGACACAGUCGUGGGACUUGAAGUAGCUGAAGAUGAUGUGUCUGUGACUUCUGCAGUUGUGCUUGUUCCUUCAGAUGUGGAUGACGAACACAGUCGUGGACUUGAACUUGGAGAAGUUGCUGAAGAUGUGUCUGUGACUUCAGCAGUUGUGCUUGUCUCUUCAUGGAUGACGACACAGUCGUGGGACUUGAAGAGCUGAAGAUGAUGUGUCUGUGACUUCAGCAGUUGUGCUUGUCCCUUCGGAUGUGGAUGACGACACAGUCGUGGGACUUGAACUUGGAGAAAUUGCUGAAGAUGAUGUGGCUGUGACUUCAGCAGUUGUGCUUGUCCCUUCAGAAUUUGAUGACGACACAGUCGUGGGACUUGAACUUGGAGAAGUUGCUGAAGAUGAUGUGUCUGUGACUUCAGCAUUUGUGCUUGUCCCUUCAGAAGUGGAUGACGACACAGUCGUGGGACUUGAAGUAGCUGAAGAUGAUGUGUCUGUGACUUCUGCAGUUGUGCUUGUCCCUUCUGAUGUGGAUAACGACACAGUCGUGGGACUUGAACUUGGAGAAGUUCCUGAAGAUGUUGUGUCUGUGACGUCAGCAGUUAUGCUUGUCCCUUCAGAAGUGGAUGAAGAGACAGUCGUGGGACUUGAACUUUGAGAAGGUGCUGAAGAUGAUGUGUCUGUGACUUCAGCAGUUGUGCUUGUCCCUUCAGAAGUGGAUGACAACACAGUCGUGGGACUUGAAGUAGCUGAAGAUGAUGUGUCUGUGACUUCUGCAGUUGUGCUUGUCCCUUCAGAAGUGGAUGAUGACACAGUCGUGGGACUUGAGGUAGCUGAAGAUGAUGUGUCUGUGACUUUUGCAGUUGUGCUUGUCCCUUCUGAUGUGGAUGACGACACAGUCGUGGGACUUGAACUUGGAGAAGUUGCUGAAGAUGAUGUGUCUGUGACUUCAGCAGUUGUGCUUGUCCCUUCAGAAGUGGAUGAAGAGACAGUCGUGGGACUUGAACUUUGAGAAGGUGCUGAAGAUGAUGUGUCUGUGACUUCAGCAGUUUUGCUUGUCCCUUCAGAAGUGGAUGACGACACAGUCGUGGGACUUGAAGUAGCUGAAGAUGAUGUGUCUGUGACUUCUGCAGUUGUGCUUGUCCCUUCAGAAGUGGAUGAUGACACAGUCGUGGGACUUGAGGUAGCUGAAGAUGAUGUGUCUGUGACUUUUGCAGUUGUGCUUGUCCCUUCUGAUGUGGAUGACGACACAGUCGUGGGACUUGAACUUGGAGAAGUUGCUGAAUAUGUUGUGUCUGUGACUUCAGCAGUUGUGCUUGUCCCUUCAGAGGUGGAUGAAGAGACAGUCGUGGGACUUGAACUUUGAGAAGUUGCUGAAGAUGUUGUGGCUGUGACUUCAGCAGUUAUGCUUGUCCCUUCGGAUGUGGAAAGUAAAAGCAAAACAUCUGCGUUAGUGUUAUUAUACUAGGUACAAGGUUCCUCAGCUGUAUUCUGUACUGUAGAGGGUUAAUGUAUGUAGUUGGUACUCAGGCUUGAUAGAUGUGUCUAAUUUCUGACGCUUAUAUACUCUUUUUUAUGUAUAAAACUUCAUUGUUCUGUGUUUUGUUGAUUUUAGGGACUUGUGAUGAAGAAGAGGAGGAAGACCAUGUGGUCAAAAGCAGAAGUGACAGCUGUCAUGAGGUCAAGGGUCACAUGAGGUCAUGCAGUCAAGGGUCACAUGAGGUCAUGAGGUCAUGAGGUCAAGGGUCACAUGAGGUCAUGAGGUCAAGGGUCACAUGAGGUCAUGAGGUCAAGGGUCACUUGAGGUCAAGGGUCACAUGAGGUCAUGAGGUCAAGGGUCACAUGAGGUCAUGAGGUCAAGGGUCACAUGAGGUCAUGUGGUCAAGGGUCACAUGAGGUCAAGGGUCACAUGAGGUCAUGCGGUCAAGGGUCACAUGAGGUCAAGGGUCACAUGAGGUCAUGAGGUCAUGAGGUCAAGGAUCACAUAAGGUCAAGGGUCACAUAGCUAGAGGAUAUUUGGACACAAAGGCAGAGUGCCACCAUUGCCAAACAUCUGAAGAGCCUGUCCUAUAAAGCAGAACAGUCCAAAAUAUUAUAACAAUGAAAAAAAUAAUUUUCACUGAUUGAAGUCCAGAAGUUAUUCUGCUCUCACUGUACAAGAUUCAGGUAGACAAUUUACUUCUAGGUAGAUUCAAGAUUCAGGUAUAAAAUUUCUCCAGGAAGAAAAAGUUCUCAAUAAACCCUUUUUAACAGUAUAGUUUUGAGGGUGG
rnacentral:lncRNA from 1 species